AGGAACUUAGGUUAACAAUUAGACCAAUAGCCUUCAAAGCCUUAAGCAGGAGUGAAAAUCUUCUAGUUCCUG
rnacentral:tRNA from 1 species